AGAGUUUGAUCAUGGCUCAGGAUGAACGCUGACAGAAUGCUUAACACAUGCAAGUCUACUUGAUCCUUCGGGUGAUGGUGGCGGACGGGUGAGUAACGCGUAAAGAACUUGCCCUGCAGUCUGGGACAACAUUUGGAAACGAAUGCUAAUACCGGAUAUUAUGUGAGUUUCGCAUGAAAUUCAUAUGAAAGCUAUAUGCGCUGCAGGAGAGCUUUGCGUCCUAUUAGCUAGUUGGUGAGGUAACGGCUCACCAAGGCCAUGAUAGGUAGCCGGCCUGAGAGGGUGAACGGCCACAAGGGGACUGAGACACGGCCCUUACUCCUACGGGAGGCAGCAGUGGGGAAUAUUGGACAAUGGACCAAAAGUCUGAUCCAGCAAUUCUGUGUGCACGAUGAAGUUUUUCGGAAUGUAAAGUGCUUUCAGUUGGGACGAAGUAAGUGACGGUACCAACAGAAGAAGCGACGGCUAAAUACGUGCCAGCAGCCGCGGUAAUACGUAUGUCGCAAGCGUUAUCCGGAUUUAUUGGGCGUAAAGCGCGUCUAGGCGGUUUGGUAAGUCUGAUGUGAAAAUGCGGGGCUCAACUCCGUAUUGCGUUGGAAACUGCCAAACUAGAGUACUGGAGAGGUGGGCGGAACUACAAGUGUAGAGGUGAAAUUCGUAGAUAUUUGUAGGAAUGCCGAUGGGGAAGCCAGCCCACUGGACAGAUACUGACGCUAAAGCGCGAAAGCGUGGGUAGCAAACAGGAUUAGAUACCCUGGUAGU
rnacentral:rRNA from 1 species